CCUACGGGCGGCUGCAAUUAGGAAUCUUGCACAAUGGGGGAAACCCUGAUGCAGCGACGCCGCGUGAAGGAUGAAGGAUUUCGGUCUGUAAACUUCUUUUGUUAGGGAAGAAGAAUGUGACGGUACCUAACGAAUAAGCCCCGGCUAACUACGUGCCAGCAGCCGCGGUAAUACGUAGGGGGCGAGCGUUGUCCGAAGUUACUGGGCGUAAAGCGCGCGUAGGCGGCUUUUUAAGUCUGAGGUGAAAGGUUCUGCGCUUAACGUGAACAGUGCCU
rnacentral:rRNA from 1 species